rnacentral:snRNA from 1 species
GUGCUUGCUUCGGCAACACAUAUACUAAAACUGGAAUGACGCAGAGAAGAGCAGCAUGGCCCCUGAGCAAGGAGGGCAUGCACAUUUAUGAAUAUUUUU